rnacentral:rRNA from 1 species
GACGAACCGUGCGAACGUUGUUCGGAAUCACUGGGCUUAAAGGGCGCGUAGGCGGACCCACAAGUCCGGGGUGAAAUCUUUCGGCUCAACCGGAAAAGGGCCUUGGAUACUGUGGGUCUGGAGGAAGGUAGGGGCAUGCGGAACUUCCGGUGGAGCGGUGAAAUGCGUUGAUAUCGGAAGGAACGCCGGUGGCGAAAGCGGCGUGCUGGACCUUUGCUGACGCUGAGGCGCGAAAGCCAGGGGAGCCGGAACGGG